rnacentral:rRNA from 1 species
UACGUAGGGGGCAAGCGUUGUCCGGAUUUAUUGGGCGUAAAGAGCGUGUAGGCGGCCUGGAAGGUCAGCUGUGAAAACUCGAGGCUCAACCUCGAGACGUCGGUUGAAACCACCUGGCUAGAGUCCGGAAGAGGAGAGUGGAAUUCCCGGUGUAGCGGUGAAAUGCGCAGAUAUCGGGGAAGAACACCCGUGGCGAAGGCGGCUCUCUGGGACGGUACUGACGCUGAGACGCGAAAGCGUGGGGAGCGAACGGAGU